UCUGGGACAAGCCCUGGAAACGGGGUCUAAUACCGGAUAUGACACACGACCGCAUGGUCUGUGUGUGGAAAGCUCCGGCGGUGAAGGAUGAGCCCGCGGCCUAUCAGCUUGUUGGUGGGGUAAUGGCCUACCAAGGCGACGACGGGUAGCCGGCCUGAGAGGGCGACCGGCCACACUGGGACUGAGACACGGCCCAGACUCCUACGGGAGGCAGCAGUGGGGAAUAUUGCACAAUGGGCGAAAGCCUGAUGCAGCGACGCCGCGUGAGGGAUGACGGCCUUCGGGUUGUAAACCUCUUUCAGCAGGGAAGAAGCGAGAGUGACGGUACCUGCAGAAGAAGCGCCGGCUAACUACGUGCCAGCAGCCGCGGUAAUACGUAGGGCGCAAGCGUUGUCCGGAAUUAUUGGGCGUAAAGAGCUCGUAGGCGGCUUGUCACGUCGGAUGUGAAAGCCCGGGGCUUAACCCCGGGUCUGCAUUCGAUACGGGCAGGCUAGAGUUCGGUAGGGGAGAUCGGAAUUCCUGGUGUAGCGGUGAAAUGCGCAGAUAUCAGGAGGAACACCGGUGGCGAAGGCGGAUCUCUGGGCCGAUACUGACGCUGAGGAGCGAAAGCGUGGGGAGCGAACAGGAUUAGAUACCCUGGUAGUCCACGCCGUAAACGUUGGGAACUAGGUGUGGGCGACAUUCCACGUCGUCCGUGCCGCAGCUAACGCAUUAAGUUCCCCGCCUGG
rnacentral:rRNA from 1 species